CCUGACAUUUGAUAUCAGGGCUAGGAAUCUGAGGCUAGACACACCAUAGGCCAUAGGUGAAGACAUCAUACAACUAUUCUUUUAAAUAGAUACAGUAUUAAACUAAUUUCUAAUGAUUUGCUCUUAUACCCAUAGCGCAUAUUUCAACUCUCAGGAGAAAAGUACCAUUAUACAGCAGAUGGUGAUUGACACAGAGUACUUAAACUGGCCAAAAUUCAGAGAAUAAGAGGCUACAGACUGGUUAUUCUUGAAUAGGACACCUAUAUGAAACUUUUGCCUCUGAAAGCACAACAAUCAUUACAAAGGAGGGGUAGAUAGAUUGUGAGAACUAAAUGAGGUGGGGGAUCCCAUGGAAGCAAAUUUUCCUGACAGCAGAUCAUAUUAAUUUUACAGCAAAGCUGACAGCAUGGAGACCUCACAAUUCCAGCACAGCACAGACAUGGGGAAGAACUCUGACCCUACCUGAGGAACUACUAGCAACCAAUGACUGCUGGGAAGGGGUGAUUCAGUCUAACUUCAGCCUGAGACACUUAGUAGGCUGGCGAAGCUCCAGUAGAUGAACCAACAAAAGGAUUGGACUUGUCACACAAAGAUCAGAGUAGCCCAAUGACAUGCCACUUUGGAAGAAGAUCUAAGACUCUCUCCAUGAUUUGCUGUUAUUUCUUCAUGCCCUGUCAAUCCUAAAAGUGCAACGGUAGAGCCUCCAGCAUCCUGAGUCACUAGUGAAGGGAACAAAGCAGCUCCGCACACCAGGAGUAAGAAGUGACUCAGCUCUUUUCAGAUGCUGCAGUUCAGAAUGUGUCGCUCCCUUUAAAGACUACUGAAGGUGUGAAUGUUUUAUUCCGAUGAAAGAAAAAAGCAAAUAAGCA